UCGAGGUCCACUGAUUGGAAAUUUUGUUGAAUCAGUGAAUAUACAUAAGUGAAGGUCUAUAACAUAAGCGAAACCGCAUUCGAAUUCUUAGAAAACUGUAUUUGAGGUCCAAACUUGGAAAAUUUUGUCAAAACAGUAGUAGCUGAUAAACCAAGAAUAGAAGAGGAUAAAUCAACAUUAGCGAAAUUUUCGGGAAUUCGUUAAUAUUCCCGAAAAUUUCUUUCGGGAUAAAAUUGGAGUUGUUACAUCAUCUUGGAUUCGAUUAAAAUUAACAAACAUGUUGUGAGAAGAAACAUUCGUGUAGAGUUUCUAAAAUCGAAGUUCAGCUGUACCGCAAAGAAUCACCGACACUCACCGUCACUCACGAGCUUCUCAACUGUCACUGCAUCCAUCAAGUCCGUUUCCGGUUAUAAGUUCAACUCAUGCAAAUGAUGUAUAAAUAUGUGCCGCUACUUGAUGUGCGAUAAAAUUGGUGAAAAACAAUUGUUCGGUUAUAUAUAGUUCCUGUUCAGGAGAUCACUCCAACAAUUCUUGCUACAGUGUUCCUAAAGAACGUGCAAGAAUCACCUGAAGCACUCUCCGACCGAUUCCGAAAUCGAAACCGAUCCUGCAGACAGAACUGCAAACCUGGCCAAGAAUAAUUUAUUACACCAUCAUCAGUGUGCCUAACCUCAUCAAGACGGAAACAAUCUAACCGAACACGGGAAGCAUCGGAACCAUCACGACCUAGACACGAUAGGCAGAGGAGCAUCAAAUUCCGGCUCACCUGUAAAGAGAGUCUUGCCAGAAUCCACCGCAUUACAGGGUGAACCGACGUCGCAUCCUGGGAAGAUCAGACUUCCUGAACA